rnacentral:rRNA from 1 species
UACGUAGGGGGCAAGCGUUGUCCGGAUUUAUUGGGCGUAAAGAGCGUGUAGGCGGCCGCACAGGUCCGUUGUGAAAACUGGAGGCUUAACCUUCAGACGUCGAUGGAAACCGUGCGGCUAGAGUCCGGAAGGGGAGACUGGAAUUCCUGGUGUAGCGGUGAAAUGCGCAGAUAUCAGGAGGAACACCGAUGGCGAAGGCAGGUCUCUGGGCAUUAACUGACGCUGAGGAGCGAAAGCAUGGGGAGCGAACAGG